AUUGAACGCUGGCGGCAUGCCUUACACAUGCAAGUCGAACGGUAACGGGCCUUCGGGUGCCGACGAGUGGCGAACGGGUGAGUAAUACAUCGGAACGUGCCCGAUCGUGGGGGAUAACGAGGCGAAAGCUUUGCUAAUACCGCAUACGAUCUACGGAUGAAAGCAGGGGACCGCAAGGCCUUGCGCGGACGGAGCGGCCGAUGGCAGAUUAGGUAGUUGGUGGGAUAAAAGCUUACCAAGCCGACGAUCUGUAGCUGGUCUGAGAGGAUGAUCAGCCACACUGGGACUGAGACACGGCCCAGACUCCUACGGGAGGCAGCAGUGGGGAAUUUUGGACAAUGGGCGCAAGCCUGAACCAGCCAUGCCGCGUGCAGGAUGAAGGCCUUCGGGUUGUAAACUGCUUUUGUACGGAACGAAAAGCCUUCUUUUAAUACAGGAGGGUCAUGACGGUACCGUAAGAAUAAGCACCGGCUAACUACGUG
rnacentral:rRNA from 1 species